rnacentral:ncRNA from 1 species
GCCUAAGUACAUGUCGUAUUAAGGCGAAACCGCGAAUGCCUCAUUAAAUCAGUUGGAUCGUAGCUUACUACUUGGAUAACUGUGGCAAUUCUAGAACUAAUACAUGCAGCAGAGCUCCGAACCUCUGGGGACGAGCGCUUUUAUUAGACAUUGUGCUCCAAGUGGAAGAUUUCCAUCAAUGCAACGAAAUCACAACUACUCCUAGUAAGAAGAAAGAAAAUACAGGUUUCAGUUCUGCCGCUUUACCUACACUGGUGUGCAAAAAUUAAGGACGAAGUCGAAAAAUUAGCAUAUCAGCUGAACGAAGAG